AUGGUGUUCUCUAUGAAAUAUCCUGCUAAUCUUAAUUUUUCAGAGAAAUACUUUUUGUGGCACAGUUGAAUAAAUCUGCAGUCCAAGAACACUUUUAACCAAGGUUCCUCUGAAGAUCAAUAAUCAUGAGCUCUACAUCCAUCAAAGCAUUAGCAAUGGUUUAAGAGGAAAUUCUCAAACUGGAGAACCAAGUGGCAGACUUGAACUUGGCCAAACAGGGGAUAAAUGCUGGUAAAGAUGAAAAUGACAUGGUCUGCAAGGAACUAGAAAAUGUCAAGCUUGAGGUGAAAAACGUCAAAAUUGAGGUAGAAAAUGUCAAGGUUGAGAUGAAAGACUUCAAGAAUCAUUUCUCUGCAGAUAUGUCUAAGCUCGUAAAAGCUCUGGAGAAGAUUGAAGUGCUGAUAAAGAAGACACCUGAUCCCUAUUCCUGUUUUGGUUGCUCUAUGGGUUCAUUCUGUCUGGAUGGGAAACCUGUUGGUCGUCCUCCUCUUGAAAAAGCGAUGGUCACAGCAAAAAGCAAUAUCUCUUGCGUUCGUGGUGAUAUAGUUUAUGCUGGUGAUACCGGGAUUGGAUACGUUCGAGCUGAUCACACACCAUCGUACUUCGUUAUUUGGAAGAAGGCAGGAGCUAAGCUACAUGGUUCAGAUUGUUCUAACAUUUUUUAUACAUGUGGUGCAAACAGGCAGUAAUGCUCAAGCUUGUAUUUUAUUUACAUGUUGUACGUAUAGAGAGUAAACUACUUUAUUACAGCUGCUCCAUUUAAAUCUAGACCAAUCUGCUUAAUUUAAAUCUAGAAAUAAUCUUAUUUUUACAGCAAAAAACUUCACGUUAGAAGCUUGUUUAAGCUAAUGUUAAAAUUCUUACAUUUUAAAGAAUAAAGCAGAAAAACUUGAAGUUGUCUUCCAAUUUAAUUUUUAAGUCCCAAACAUUGUUUUAUAAGAUAAAAACCUUGAACCCUGAAUUUUAUAAGUAGCGUUUUUAAUUCAAAUUUUUG